GACGAACGCUGGCGGCAUGCCUAAUACAUGCAAGUCGAACGGAUCCCUUCGGGGAUUAGUGGCGGACGGGUGAGUAACGCGUGGGCAACCUGCCCCAAAGAUCGGGAUAACACUUCGAAAGGAGUGCUAAUACCGGGUGUGAUCUAGAAUUCGCAUGGAUUUUAGAAGAAAGGCUUCGGCCACUUUGGGAUGGGCCCGCGUCUGAUUAGCUAGUUGGUGGGGUAAAGGCCUACCAAGGCGACGAUCAGUAGCCGACCUGAGAGGGUGAACGGCCACACUGGGACUGAGACACGGCCCAGACUCCUACGGGAGGCAGCAGUGGGGAAUUUUGGACAAUGGGCGCAAGCCUGAUCCAGCCAUUCCGCGUGCAGGAUGAAGGCCCUCGGGUUGUAAACUGCUUUUGUACGGAACGAAAAGGCCUGAGUUAAUACCUCGGGCUCAUGACGGUACCGUAAGAAUAAGCACCGGCU
rnacentral:rRNA from 1 species